rnacentral:rRNA from 1 species
AAUUUUGGACAAUGGGCGCAAGCCUGAUCCAGCCAUGCCGCGGGAGUGAAGAAGGCCUNCGGGUUNUNAAGCUCUUUCGGACGGANAGAAAUCGCGCAGGCUAAUACCCUGCGUGGAUGACGGUACCGUCAUAAGAAGCACCGUCUAACUACGGUCCAACAGCCGCUGUACUACUGAGGGUGCGAGCGUUAAUGGGAAUUCGUGGGUGUAAACCGUGCGCAGGCGGUUGAUUAAGACAGCCGUGAAAUCCCCGGGCUUAACCUGGGAACUGCGCUUGUGACUGGUCAGCUAGAGUACGGCAGAGGGGGGUGGAAUUCCACGUGUAGCAGUGAAAUUCGUAGAGAUGUGGAGGAACACCGAUGGCGAAGGCAGCCCCCUGGGCCGAUACUGACGCUCAUGCACGAAAGCGUGGGUAGCAAACAGG